rnacentral:rRNA from 1 species
GUCGAACGGGGUUAUCAUUUUUGAAGCGAUUAGCUUGCUAAGAGUGGACAAUCUGAUAACUUAGUGGCGGACGGGUGAGUAACGCGUGGGUAACCUGCCUUACACAGGGGGAUAACACUUAGAAAUAGGUGCUAAUACCGCAUAAGCGCACAGUCCCGCAUGGGACAGAGUGAAAAACAUUAGUGGUGUAAGAUGGACCCGCGUCUGAUUAGCUUGUUGGCGGGGUAACGGCCCACCAAGGCGACGAUCAGUAGCCGGCCUGAGAGGGUGGACGGCCACAUUGGGACUGAGACACGGCCCAAACUCCUACGGGAGGCAGCAGUGGGGGAUAUUGGACAAUGGGGGAAACCCUGAUCCAGCGACGCCGCGUGAGUGAAGAAGUAUUUCGGUAUGUAAAGCUCUAUCAGCAGGGAAGAAAGAAAUGACGGUACCUGAGUAAGAAGCCCCGGCUAACUACGUGCCAGCAGCCGCGGUAAUACGUAGGGGGCAAGCGUUAUCCGGAAUUACUGGGUGUAAAGGGAGCGUAGACGGUAAUGCAAGUCUGGAGUGAAAGGCGGGGGCCCAACCCCCGGACUGCUCUGGAAACUGUGUAACUGGAGUGCAGGAGAGGCAGGCGGAAUUCCUAGUGUAGCGGUGAAAUGCGUAGAUAUUAGGAGGAACACCAGUGGCGAAGGCGGCCUGCCGGACUGUAACUGACGUUGAGGCUCGAAAGCGUGGGGAGCAAACAGGAUUAGAUACCCUGGUAGUCCACGCCGUAAACGAUGAUUACUAGGUGUGGGUGGGUAUGGACCCAUCGGUGCCGCAGCAAACGCAGUAAGUAAUCCACCUGGGGAGUACGUUCGCAAGAAUGAAACUCAAAGGAAU